CUCCUCUUCAGCAGCACAUGUACUAAAAUUGGAAUGAUACAGAGAAGAUUAGCAUGGCCCCUGCACAAGGAUGACACCCAAACACCCUAACUAUUGUGCUAAAAAUUAUU
ensembl:snRNA U6 U6 spliceosomal RNA